rnacentral:snRNA from 1 species
GGAUGUGAGGGGCAAACAUCUGUSAACCCAUUGAUUGCCAAUGUUGAUUCAGCUGAUCUAGCUGGCUAGGCAGGUGUCCCUUUCCUCCAGAAGCUGUACCCUCAGUUGAAGAGGAGAACCCCGAUGUUCUUCGGUCAAGGGUACAUGAGUAUAUAUGUUCCCCACUAGAACUUACAAAGAAGCUCUCAAAAACCUCAGURAAGCCAGGCACAGUGGUGUAUGCCUUUUUUUUAAAUAUUUAUUUUUAGUUAUAGGUGGGCACGAUAUCYUUAUUUUAUUA